AGUGACGUUAAUGUCACCUGUGUUGUUUCCCUUUUCCCUCGAAACUGAAUUUCACCAAAAUAAUGGCGAAUUGCGCUGUAUUCCGCUGCAUAUUGUAAAUGUGACGUCUGAUGUGCCUUGUCCCUGUUACAUGUUAUAUGUGCUGAAGAACAGGAACCUGCUGGAAAUCAGUUAUUUUACUAAGACAGGCCCGUUUUAAAUUGUAACUUUGUUACUUUUAAUACUUUCCUGCUUAAUAAAAUAAUAAAAAAAAAAUAAAAAAAAAUCAGUUGAUUCCGUUUUUAUUGUCCAAUUCCGUGAUUCCGUCCGCGUUUUCGUUAUCGCGGAUUUCAUAGGGCCCUACAAAGGUUCUGCAUUAAAUUCACAUAUUCGUCAAAAGUGUUUAAAGUAUAAAGUUUUAUAUGCUUUUUUUUGUUUUGUUUUUAAUCGGCAAUCGGCAUCGUAAUUUUUCUCUGAAAAUAAUCGGCAUCGGCACUCAAAAAUCAAUAUCGGUCGGGCCCUAGUACUUAUUGCAAGUCGCUUUGGAUAAAAGCGUCUGCUAAAUGGUCAUCAUUUGUCAGCUGUCUAUCCUCUAUUAAACUGCAUUGAAGUGACACGUUUGUUCCGUGCAUUAUUCAUUUGCAUUAUUAUUGCAUUAUGCGUGCAUUAUUCCUUUUCACAACGUAUUAUUCCUUUGCACAACGUAUGUAUUUUCGAUAUUUGAAAACGAUAUCGUCCCAUUCAGAGCAAGGGAGAUUAGUAUGAUAGGAUCUCGGUUAGCAGGCAUUUAUUGCGCCUAUUUUUUAAUUUUUCCGUCGACAUUUUGUAGUCAGUAGGAACCAAAACAGUAGGUAUAGGAACCAAAGUGCCGGUGUUCGGUGUUCCCUGGGAUCCACGCAAGCGAAGAGCGUCUACAUUGCGAUUGGCUGUCAGUGUCUGGCCGCUGAAACGCGUCAUAGUAAUUUGCAUAAAGUUCAACAGUUUUCUUUGGACGCUCUGGUCGCUCAACUUUGGCCGCUGGUAGCGUUGGUCGCUUUGGUCGCUCUUGUCCAUAGAAAGUGAAUGACUUCCGGCGAUUUGGUAGCUCAAUUCGCUUCUGGUGUGGACGUUGUUGUAGAAUUAAUAAUAACAACUUAUCUAAUUCACUUCAACUAGCUAUAAGCAAAGAGGAAUCGGGGAGUCCAGGUCAAGUAUAGAUGGAGAGUUUAUUGCCACCCGCAAACGAGAGACAGCAAAGCUGAAUGGUAUUCGCGAAUACACACUACUGAAUGAAUCCCAGACAGCUCCUUAUAUCCCUGAUUUUUACACAAUACAAAGUUGGACUUUCAUCAAAUAUAGAAUUUCUCAUCAGUGUCAUACUGUGUGGAUGUCAGCAUACUCCUAUGUCUUCUGAAUCCCAAUGUGACCUUAGAACAUAUAUUAUCCUUAUAUAAACAGAUGAUGCACAUGUGUGAAUGUAAGCAUUGUCUUCAGAGAGUACAUCAAUAUGGGAGUAGACUGGACUCUCUGACUGAUGUAUCACAUGGCCCAUCAGGUGAGAAUAUCCUGGACCCACUCACUGGUGUCACACGGCACACAACAUCUAGGUUAGAGGUGAUCAGCUCUUCUCCACCAUUAAAGUAUAUAUAUGAUAUGUAGGCCUAAUAAUAAUCAUAGUUUAACAUAGAAUGUAAGGUUAAUUUCUACCACAACGUACAGUUAGCAAGCCAUCUCAUCAGUUAUAAUUAAUAGGGCCCGACCGAUAUUGAUUUUUGAGUGCCGAUGCCGAUUAUUUUAAGAGAAAAAUUACGAUUACGAUUUAAUCGGCCGAUUAAAAGCAAAACAAAAAAAAAGCCUAUAAAACAGUUUUUGAUACCUUAAAUAUACUUUAAACACUUUUGACGAACAUGUGAAUUGAAUGCAGAACCUUUGAGUGUUUUAGAAUACAUUUACAGUCAAAAAUGAGUGGAAUGUAAAAUGUAAAAUAAAUAACUAACUCCCAAUGUGCUGCGCUCGUGAGGAGUGACUAACACGUGCGUGCUGAGCAGUAUGGUCUCACCGUUAGAGUCUACAGUAUAACAAAUUAACAUGGUCUGGGACCUAAAGAAAAACAUGCUCAAACAACGCGCCUUGUUUACAUUGGUGAGGUGAGCGCGCAGCUGCCUGAGCGAGCGUGCUUUCAUGUUGUACGGUAAAAUUCAAUCUCCUCUUUUUUACUCCAGCUAAAGUUGUUAGUUAGCAAGGCGAGUAGGAGCGCAAUCUGCAGGAUACUAAGCGCAAUAACAUUUCUAAAAAAAUAAUAAAAAAAUAAAAAUAAAAAAAAUAAUCGGUUGUAAUCUGCGUCUUUUUGGCAGAUGUCGAUUAUUUUCAAAAAGGCUAUAAUCGGCCGAUUAAAUCGGCAGGCCGAUGAAUCGGUCAGGCCCUAAUAAUUAAUAUACAAGACGAUGAUGGCCCUCAAAAGAGUUUCACAGGACCUGAUCCCUCCGAUUCACCCGAUUCUCAAUCGAGUUCAGGUGGACUUAAAGGACGGUACAGAUCUGGAUGAUCAAAUCAGUAUUCCUCUAUCCAGGCUUUACUAUGGCAUCCAUUACUGAUAAAAUUAGUCCAAAUCAAUUUGUUGUGGCGUUUGGGCAGCAGUUGACCUCUUCCUCCCCCCUUGGUCAGCUAUGACUACGCAGGGUCAGCUUUGACAUCCAGAUCUAUGUACCAGUCUGUAUUUUGAUGAUCCCGUC
ensembl:lncRNA